rnacentral:rRNA from 1 species
UUAAGUUAAUAAGGGCGCACGGUGGAUGCCUUGGCACUAGAAGCCGAUGAAGGACGUGACUAACGACGAAAUGCUUUGGGGAGUUGUAAGUAAACAUUGAUCCAGAGAUGUCCGAAUGGGGGAACCCGGCAUGUGAAGCAUGUCACUCAUUACUGUUAAGGUAAUGAAGAGGAAGACGCAGUGAACUGAAACAUCUAAGUAGCUGCAGGAAGAGAAAGCAAACGCGAUUGCCUUAGUAGCGGCGAGCGAAACGGCAAGAGGGCAAACCGAUGUGUUUACACAUCGGGGUUGUAGGACUGCGUUGUGGGACGCAAGAUUAUAGAAGAAUUACCUGGGAAGGUAAGCCAAAGAGAGUAAUAGCCUCGUAAUCGAAAUAAUCUUAAACCCUAGCAGUAUCCUGAGUACGGCGAGACACGAGAAAUCUCGUCGGAAUCCGGGAGGACCAUCUCCCAACCCUAAAUACUCUCUAGUGACCGAUAGUGAACCAGUACCGUGAGGGAAAGGUGAAAAGCACCCCGGGAGGGGAGUGAAAUAGAACCUGAAACCGUGUGCCUACAACAAGUUCGAGCCCGUUAAUGGGUGAGAGCGUGCCUUUUGUAGAAUGAACCGGCGAGUUACGAUAUGAUGCGAGGUUAAGUUGAAGAGACGGAGCCGUAGGGAAACCGAGUCUUAAUAGGGCGCAUUAGUAUCAUGUCGUAGACCCGAAACCAUGUGACCUACCCAUGAGCAGGGUGAAGGUGAGGUAAAACUCACUGGAGGCCCGAACCAGGGCACGUUGAAAAGUGCUUGGAUGACUUGUGGGUAGCGGAGAAAUUCCAAACGAACUUGGAGAUAGCUGGUUCUCUCCGAAAUAGCUUUAGGGCUAGCGUCGAUGUUAAGUCUCUUGGAGGUAGAGCACUGUUUGAUUGAGGGGUCCAUCCCGGAUUACCAAUAUCAGAUAAACUCCGAAUGCCAAUGAGAUAUAAUCGGCAGUCAGACUGCGAGUGCUAAGAUCCGUAGUCGAAAGGGAAACAGCCCAGACCACCAGCUAAGGUCCCAAAAUAUAUGUUAAGUGGAAAAGGAUGUGGGGUUGCACAGACAACUAGGAUGUUAGCUUAGAAGCAGCUAUUCAUUCAAAGAGUGCGUAAUAGCUCACUAGUCGAGUGACCCUGCGCCGAAAAUGUACCGGGGCUAAAACAUAUUACCGAAGCUGUGGAUACCUUUUAGGUAUGGUAGGAGAGCGUUCUAUGUGUGAAGAAGGUGUACCGUGAGGAGCGCUGGAACGCAUAGAAGUGAGAAUGCCGGUAUGAGUAGCGAAAGACAGGUGAGAAUCCUGUCCACCGUAAGACUAAGGUUUCCAGGGGAAGGCUCGUCCGCCCUGGGUUAGUCGGGACCUAAGGAGAGACCGAAAGGUGUAUCCGAUGGACAACAGGUUGAUAUUCCUGUACUAGAGUAUAUAGUGAUGGAGGGACGCAGUAGGCUAACUAAAGCGUGCGAUUGGAAGUGCACGUCUAAGCAGUGAGGUGUGAUAUGAGUCAAAUGCUUAUAUCUCUAACAUUGAGCUGUGAUGGGGAGCGAAGUUAAGUAGCGAAGUUAGUGAUGUCACACUGCCAAGAAAAGCUUCUAGCGUUAAUUAUACUCUACCCGUACCGCAAACCGACACAGGUAGUCGAGGCGAGUAGCCUCAGGUGAGCGAGAGAACUCUCGUUAAGGAACUCGGCAAAAUGGCCCCGUAACUUCGGGAGAAGGGGCGCUGGCUUUAAGUCAGCCGCAGUGAAUAGGCCCAAGCAACUGUUUAUCAAAAACACAGCUCUCUGCUAAAUCGUAAGAUGAUGUAUAGGGGGUGACGCCUGCCCGGUGCUGGAAGGUUAAGAGGAGCGCUUAGCGUAAGCGAAGGUGUGAAUUGAAGCCCCAGUAAACGGCGGCCGUAACUAUAACGGUCCUAAGGUAGCGAAAUUCCUUGUCGGGUAAGUUCCGACC